GGGCUGGACCCACGCCGACGCCUCAGCUGUAGAAUACACACGCGCUCAUAUCAGCAUUCCCUCAGAGACCUGGCUGGAGGCUCCGAAUGUGGAGUGCGUGGUCGAGGUGGACGGCAGGCGCGUCUCGAAAUCUUAUAAAAAAGCCUCCAGUCAGGUGUGUCCGUGGUUGCUGUAUUUGGGCUCCGGUGUGGUCUUGGCCUUCAUUACCGUGCUCUUCGUUAAGAUAAUGCUUUAUUAAUCGCCAGACGGAGAAAGUAGGGUGUCACAGCAGCAGCAAGACAGGAAGUGUAAUAUACAAGGCUGGAACUGAUCUGCAUCGGAGAACAUGGACGCACCGCAUUAAACCAGAAUUCCUAAUGUUCCUAAAGUUGUU
ensembl:lncRNA